rnacentral:rRNA from 1 species
GGGGGGGGGGGGGGGGGGGCGGGGCACGGGCAGGGCGGGCGGGGGGGCCGGUUUGGGGGGGUACUCGGGGGGCGAAGGGGUGGGUGACACGGGAGUAACCUGCGCUUUACUUUGGGGUAGCGUCAGGCGGCUGGGGCGAAUCCCGGCUGGGACAUACUGCCGCCUGGUGGGGGUGGGGAAUGUUCGGCGGUUGGGGAUGGGCUGGCGGCGUAUCAGCUUUGUGGUGGGGUAGUGGCUUACGCACGCUUUGACGGGUAGCCGGACUGAGAGGGUGACGGGCCACAUUGGGACUGAGAGACGGCCCAGACUCCUACGGGAGGCAGCAGUGGGGAAUAUUGCACAAUGGGUGGAAGCCUGAUGCAGCAACGCCGUGUGCGGGAUGACGGCCUUCGGGUUGUAAACCGCUUUCGCUCAUGACGAAGCUUUGUGUGACGGUAGUGGGUAAAGAAGCACCGGCUAACUACGUG